GAUGAACGCUAGCGGCAGGCCUAUACAUGCAAGUCGAACGGUGUCUUCGGACAUAGUGGCGCACGGGUGCGUAACACGUAUGCAACCUACCUUACAUUGGGGGAUAGCCUUUCGAAAGGGAGAUUAAUACCGCAUAAGACAGUAGCUGGGCAUCCAGCAGCUGUUAAAGAUUUAUCGAUGUAAGCUGGGCAUGCGUCCAAUUAGCUAGUUGGUGAGGUAACGGCUCACCAAGGCAAUGAUUGGUAGGGGAACUGAGAGGUCAAUCCCCCACACUGGCACUGAGACACGGGCCAGACUCCUACGGGAGGCAGCAGUAGGGAAUAUUGGGCAAUGGACGCAAGUCUGACCCAGCCAUGCCGCGUGCAGGAUGAAGGCGUUAUGCGUUGUAAACUGCUUUUAUACAGGAAGAAACGACUCUUGCGAGAGGCAUUGACGGUACUGUAUGAAUAAGCACCGGCUAACUCCGUGCCAGCCGCCGCCGUAAUAC
rnacentral:rRNA from 1 species